rnacentral:rRNA from 1 species
UGAUCCUGGCUCAGAUUGAACGCUGGCGGCAGGCCUAACACAUGCAAGUCGAACGGUAACAGAACUAGCUUGCUAGUUGCUGACGAGUGGCGGACGGGUGAGUAAUACUUAGGGAUCUGCCUCUGUGUGGGGGAUAACUAUUGGAAACGAUAGCUAAUACCGCAUAAUGUCUACGGACCAAAGAGGGCUUCGGCUCUCGCGCAGAGAGGAACCUAAGCGAGAUUAGCUAGUUGGUGAGGUAAAGGCUCACCAAGGCGACGAUCUCUAGCUGUUCUGAGAGGAAGAUCAGCCACACUGGAACUGAGACACGGUCCAGACUCCUACGGGAGGCAGCAGUGGGGAAUAUUGCACAAUGGGGGAAACCCUGAUGCAGCCAUGCCGCGUGUGUGAAGAAGGCCUUCGGGUUGUAAAGCACUUUCAGUUGUGAGGAAAGGUUAGUAGUUAAUACCUGCUAGCUGUGACGUUAACAACAGAAGAAGCACCGGCUAACUCCGUGCCAGCAGCCGCGGUAAUACGGAGGGUGCGAGCGUUAAUCGGAAUUACUGGGCGUAAAGCGCACGCAGGCGGUCUGUUAAGCUAGAUGUGAAAGCCCCGCGCUCAACGUGGGAGGGUCAUUUAGAACUGGCAGACUAGAGUCUUGGAGAGGGGAGUGGAAUUCCAGGUGUAGCGGUGAAAUGCGUAGAGAUCUGGAGGAACAUCAAUGGCGAAGGCAACUCCCUGGCCAAAGACUGACGCUCAUGUGCGAAAGUGUGGGUAGCGAACAGGAUUAGAUACCCUGGUAGU